GGACUACUGGGGUAUCUAAUCCCGUUUGCUCCCCUGGCUUUCGUGUCUCAGCGUCGGCACAACCCCAGCAACCUGUUUUCACCUUUGGCGUUCCAAGCGAUAUCUACGCAUUUCACCGCUCCACCGCUUGUUCCAGUUGCCCCUAGUUGGCCCAAGAUCGCCAGUAUGCCCAGCAGUUCCACGGGUGAGCCGUGGGAUUUCACAAGACACUUAACGAUCCGCCUACACACGCUUUAAGCCCAGUGAUUCCGCCUAACGCUUGAGGCCUCUGUCUUACCGCGGCUGCUGGCAC
rnacentral:rRNA from 1 species